rnacentral:rRNA from 1 species
CAGCAGCCGCGGUAAUACGUAGGUGGCAAGCGUUGUCCGGAAUUAUUGGGCGUAAAGGGCUCGCAGGCAGUUUCUUAAGUCUGAUGUGAAAGCCCCCGGCUCAACCGGGGAGGGUCAUUGGAAACUGGGAAACUUGAGUGCAGAAGAGGAGAGUGGAAUUCCACGUGUAGCGGUGAAAUGCGUAGAGAUGUGGAGGAACACCAGUGGCGAAGGCGACUCUCUGGUCUGUAACUGACGCUGAGGAGCGAAAGCGUGGGGAGCGAACAGGAUUAGAUACCCCAGUAGUCCCUGUCUCUUAUAA